UGUAUUUUUGUAUAUUUCUCUAUUUGGUAAAUUCUCCGAAAUUCUCUCACUCUCAUAACUUUAUAUUUUGGUAUUCUCUCAAAAGUUAUGUUUAGGAAUUCACUAUUUAAUUCCUCAAUUAUGUAAUGAUUAUAAUUAUCGAAUCUACCGUAUGAAUAACUCUACCGAAGGCUACCGAGUCGAUCGUUUGCCAACUUAGUAAAUUGUUACUAACUGUCAAU